rnacentral:rRNA from 1 species
GCACGUAGUUAGCCGGCGCUUCUUCUGCAGGUACACGUCAACUUCGUCCCUGCUGAAAGAGGUUUACAACCCGAAGGCCGUCAUCCCCCACGCGGCGUCGCUGCGUCAGGCUUCCGCCCAUUGCGCAAUAUUCCCCACUGCUGCCUCCCGUAGGAGUCUGGGCCGUGUCUCAGUCCCAGUGUGGCCGGUUGCCCUCUCAGGCCGGCUACCCGUCGUCGCCUUGGUAGGCCACUACCCCACCAACAAGCUGAUAGGCCGCGAGCCCAUCCCCAACCGAAAAAACUUUCCACCACCACCCGAUGCCAGGGGCGGUCAUAUCCGGUAUUAGACCCAGUUUCCCGGGCUUAUCCCAGAGUCAGGGGCAGGUUGCUCACGUGUUACUCACCCGUUCGCCGCUCGAGUACCCCGAAGGGCCUUUCCGCUCGACUUGCAUGUGUUAAGCACGCCGCCAGCGUUCGUC